UACGUAGGGGGCAAGCGUUGUCCGGAUUUAUUGGGCGUAAAGAGCGUGUAGGCGGCUUGGUAGGUCCGCUGUGAAAACUCGAGGCUCAACCUCGAGAUGUCGGCGGAAACCACUUGGCUAGAGUCCGGAAGAGGAGAGUGGAAUUCCUGGUGUAGCGGUGAAAUGAGCAGAUAUCAGGAAGAACACCUAUGGCGAAGGCAGCUCUCUGGGACGGUACUGACGCUGAGACGCGAAAGCGUGGGGAGCGAACAGG
rnacentral:rRNA from 1 species